CUUUGUUGACCUGUAGGUAACCAAGCAGCAGAUCUGGAGAAAGAAAAGGACUACUACACCUGUGUAAUUGGAUAAAAUGGAGACACGUGAUCUUGUACUUGAGUUUCAUGGAGCACAAAGAAGGGAACUCUGUAAAUUUCUCGAGGAGCUUCGUAUUAUUUAACCUCGGAGGUAGAUGGGACGAUCUAAUUGCUUGUUGCUUGUUAGGGACCAGCAGCAUAAAUUUCAGAGAUGAGCUUCUAUUGGAUGCAAAUGGUACCACCCACCUGCUCGAGUUAUGGAUGCCAGAAAAGAAAAUUGACAGGUACGACAAAACCAGUCUACAAUUGCAUCAGUAUGCAGGUAUGUCAUCUAAAGCUUAAAUUCCUUCAUAAUUUAUGUGACAUAAGCCUCAAAUUUGAAUUCAAAGAGCUACUCUUUAUCAGUCCUUUCUCUCAGAGACUCUGGUGCAGGUAUCAGGAAUCAUGUAGUAAAACUAACGGCAGAAAGAGCCGACGUUGGAUCCCAGCACAUGUUUCAUGCUUCCUCGUUUUAGGGCUGCACGACGUUCCCGGACCCACCCAGAGGUGACGAGGAUAACGA